rnacentral:rRNA from 1 species
UACGUAGGUGACAAGCGUUGUCCGGAUUUACUGGGCGUAAAGAGCGCGCAGGCGGUCGAUCAAGUCGAGUGUGAAAGCCCCCGGCUUAACUGGGGGGGGGCAUUCGAGACUGAUCGACUUGAAGGCAGGAGAGGGUAGUGGAAUUCCCGGUGUAGUGGUGAAAUGCGUAGAUAUCGGGAGGAACACCAGUUGCGAAGGCGACUACCUGGCCUGUUCUUGACGCUGAGGCGCGAAAGCUAGGGGAGCAAACGGG